UUUCAUUUGCCAGGGGCUGGGGUUAUGACACCUUCUGGUGUCUUUCACGCUGCUUCGUGUGGUGACAGAAGCUCACUGAUAUGGCUGCGUACGGAUCUCCACUUGAUGCACUUAAUGUCCACGCUGGUAGUUCUCGUGGUAGCGUCGAUCCCUCCGACCCAUGCUAAUUGGCUGAGGCGGCCUGACCGGGCAAAGAUCAUUGAGCAUCAACUCUACACCCGCUAACCUGCCAGAGACCACUGCUGCUUUUCCUGGUGUUGGUUAAACUAACUCUGCUCGGGUUUGCUUUGGUUGAAUUUACCAUGUUGCUUUACUUCGCCUUUUGCUAAACCCACCUUGUUUGGGUCUGCUUUGUCGUUGGCCUCCCCCACAUUGGCCUCCCCUUGCUGUGGGCCUCCUACUGGGUCCACAUUUUAACUGUGUGUACGAGACAGGCCAUACUUUGUUAUUUGUCAGUUUGUCAAUUUGUUAAUUUUCUUAUUUUGUGAUUUCGUUAAGCUUUGGUUUAGCAGUUUGUCUUAUUUGUAUAGUUUUUGGUUAACUAAUUAUUUUCUUUCUGUUUUGGUGUAGUUUCUUUUAUUUUAAACCUGUUGCCCUCAUCUUUCCCCCCCAUUCAGGUGCUGAGUCUGCGGUGGUGGAUUAGUGUCCCAGGUGGUGGUCCUAAUUAUGUUAUGUUUUUGCAUGUUGUUUGAGUUUGCUUCACUUUUAGUUGUUUCACGUGUGGUGCUCCUUGGGUCCCCUUUUCUUUGGACCGUCCAUCAUAAGUCUCAGCCCUGAUUGGGACAAGCAACGGGGGAACCAGAGUGAAGAGGUUUUUACCGUUGUUUUUAAACCGUAAAUUGAAUUGAAUGAAAUUACAUUGUGUCUUAAACUAUGUCUCUGCAUCAUUUGCAACGAACCUGAGUGCCUCCCCUUAGUUUGGGUGAAGAUUUAAAACAAUUCCCUGGGUGGCG